AACUGCUGUCUAGUACAUACCUCAUUAAGGUGAAACCGCGAACGGCUCAUUAAAUCAGUUACGGUUCCUUAGAUAUUGAAAUCUACAUGGAUAACUGUGGUAAUUCUAGAGCUAAUACAUGCACAAAAGCCUCGACUUUCGGGAAGAGGCGCAUUUAUUAGACCAAGACCAAUGGGGCUUCGGCUCCUUUGUGAUGGUGACUCUGAAUAACUAAGCUAAUCGCAUGGCCUCCGUGCCGGCGAUGAAUCUUUCAAGUGUCUGCCUUAUCAACUGUCGACGGUAGGUUAUGCGCCUACCGUGGUUGCAACGGGUAACGGGGAAUGGGGCGGGGGCGGCGGGCCGGGCGCGGGGCGCGGGGCGGGCGA
rnacentral:rRNA from 1 species